UGGGGAAUCUUGCACAAUGGGCGGAAGCCUGAUGCAGCGACGCCGCGUGGGGGAUGACGGCCUUCGGGUUGUAAACUCCUUUCGCCAGGGACGAAGCCGUGAGGUGACGGUACCUGGAUAAGAAGCACCGGCUAACUACGUGCCAGCAGCCGCGGUAAUACGUAGGGUGCGAGCGUUGUCCGGAAUUACUGGGCGUAAAGAGCUCGUAGGUGGUUUGUCGCGUCGUCUGUGAAAUUCCGGGGCUUAACUCCGGGCGUGCAGGCGAUGCGGGCAUAACUUGAGUGCUGUAGGGGAGACUGGAAUUCCUGGUGUAGCGGUGAAAUGCGCAGAUAUCAGGAGGAACACCGAUGGCGAAGGCAGGUCUCUGGGCAGUAACUGACGCUGAGGAGCGAAAGCAUGGGUAGCGAACAGG
rnacentral:rRNA from 1 species